CCUUACCAGCCCUUGACAUCCCGGUCGCGGACUCCAGAGACGGAGUUCUUCAGUUCGGCUGGACCGGAGACAGGUGCUGCAUGGCUGUCGUCAGCUCGUGUCGUGAGAUGUUGGGUUAAGUCCCGCAACGAGCGCAACCCCCGUCCUUAGUUGCUACCAUUUAGUUGAGCACUCUAAGGAGACUGCCGGUGAUAAGCCGCGAGGAAGGUGGGGAUGACGUCAAGUCCUCAUGGCCCUUACGGGCUGGGCUACACACGUGCUACAAUGGCGGUGACAAUGGGAUGCUAAGGGGCGACCCUUCGCAAAUCUCAAAAAGCCGUCUCAGUUCGGAUUGGGCUCUGCAACUCGAGCCCAUGAAGUCGGAAUCGCUAGUAAUCGUGGAUCAGCACGCCACGGUGAAUACGUUCCCGGGCCUUGUACACACCGCCCGUCACACCAUGGGAGUUGGUUUUACCUGAAGACGGUGCGCUAACCGAAAGGGGGCAGCCGGCCACGGUAGGGUCAGCGACUGGGGUGAAGUCGUAACAAGGUAAGCGUAGUGCU
rnacentral:rRNA from 1 species